UACGUAGGCAGCAAGCGUUGUUCGGAAUUACUGGGCGUAAAGAGUGUGUAGGCGGUGCUCCAAGUCUGGUGUGAAAUCUCCCGGCUUAACUGGGAGGGUGCAUUAGAAACUGGAAUGCUAGAGGAUGGGAGAGGUAAGCGGAAUUCCUGGUGUAGCGGUGAAAUGCGUAGAUAUCAGGAGGAACACCGGUGGCGAAGGCGGGUCUCUGGGCCGUAACUGACGCUGGAGGAGCGGAAAGCAUGGGGAGCGAAACAGG
rnacentral:rRNA from 1 species